rnacentral:rRNA from 1 species
ACGAACGCUGGCGGCGUGCUUAACACAUGCAAGUCGAGCGGUAAGGCCCUUUCGGGGGUACACGAGCGGCGAACGGGUGAGUAACACGUGGGUGACCUGCCCUCAGCUCUGGGAUAAGCCUGGGAAACUGGGUCUAAUACUGGAUAUGACUCCACGGUGCAUGUCGUGGGGUGGAAAGCCUUGUGCGGCUGAGGAUGGGCCCGCGGCCUAUCAGCUUGUUGGUGGGGUGAGGCCUACCAAGGCGACGACGGGUAGCCGGCCUGAGAGGGCGACCGGCCACACUGGGACUGAGACACGGCCCAGACUCCUACGGGAGGCAGCAGUGGGGAAUCUUGCGCAAUGGGCGAAAGCCUGACGCAGCGACGCCGCGUGAGGGAUGACGGCCUCGUUGUAAC